UAGGGAAUCUUCCGCAAUGGGCGAAAGCUUGACGGAGCAACGCCGCGUGAGUGAUGAAGGUCUUCGGAUCGUAAAACUCUGUUAUUAGGGAAGAACAAAUGUGUAAGUAACUAUGCACGUCUUGACGGUACCUAAUCAGAAAGCCACGGCUAACUACGUGCCAGCAGCCGCGGUAAUACGUAGGUGGCAAGCGUUAUCCGGUAUUAUUGGGCGUAAAGCGCGCGUAGGCGGUUUUUUAAGUCUGAUGUGAAAGCCCACGGCUCAACCGUGGAGGGUCAUUGGAAACUGGAAAACUUGAGUGCAGAAGAGGAAAGUGGAAUUCCAUGUGUAGCGGUGAAAUGCGCAGAGAUAUGGAGGAACACCAGUGGCGAAGGCGACUUUCUGGUCUGUAACUGACGCUGAUGUGCGAAAGCGUGGGGAUCAAACAGG
rnacentral:rRNA from 1 species